rnacentral:rRNA from 1 species
AACUCGGCAAAAUGACCCCGUAACUUAGGGAUAAGGGGUGCCACCAUCAGGUGGCCGCAGAGAAUAGGCCCAAGCGACUGUUUACCAAAAACAUAGGUUUCUGCUAAGUCGCAAGACGAUGUAUAGGAGCUGACGCCUGCCCGGUGCUGGAAGGUUAAGGGGAUCUGUUAGAGCAAUCGAAGCAGUGAACUUAAGCCCCAGUAAACGGCGGCCGUAACUAUAACGGUCCUAAGGUAGCGAAAUUCCUUGUCGGGUAAGUUCCGACCCGCACGAAAGGCGUAACGAUUUGGGCACUGUCUCAACAACAGACUCGGUGAAAUUGUAAUUCCGGUGAAGAUGCCGGAUACCUGCGACAGGACGGAAAGACCCCAUGGAGCUUUACUGUAGCUUGACAUUGGGUCUUGGUACUACAUGUACAGGAUAGGUGGGAGGCUUUGAAACCAGGACGCCAGUUUUGGCGGAGCCAUCCUUGGGAUACCACCCUUGUAGUACUGGGACUCUAACCAUAGGCCAUGAAUCUGGUCUUGGGACACUGUCAGGUGGGCAGUUUGACUGGGGCGGUCGCCUCCCAAAAGG